rnacentral:rRNA from 1 species
AUUGAACGCUGGCGGCAUGCCUUACACAUGCAAGUCGAACGGCAGCACGGGUGCUUGCCCCUGGUGGCGAGUGGCGAACGGGUGAGUAAUACAUCGGAACAUGUCCUGUAGUGGGGGAUAGCCCGGCGAAAGCCGGAUUAAUACCGCAUACGAUCUACGGAUGACAGCGGGGGACCUUCGGGCCUCGCGCUAUAGGGUUGGCCGAUGGCUGAUUAGCUAGUUGGUGGGGUAAAGGCCUACCAAGGCGACGACCAGUAGCUGGUCUGAGAGGACGACCAGCCACACUGGGACUGAGACACGGCCCAGACUCCUACGGGAGGCAGCAGUGGGGAAUUUUGGACAAUGGGCGAAAGCCUGAUCCAGCAAUGCCGCGUGUGUGAAGAAGGCCUUCGGGUUGUAAAGCACUUUUGUCCGGAAAGAAAUCCUUGGCUCUAAUACAGUCGGGGGAUGACGGUACCGGAAGAAUAAGCACCGGCUAACUACGUG